UUGGCUGAGUUGAUGUACUCCAGGCUCUUGUGGUCUGUCCAGACUUGGAAUGGUUGCUCAGUGCCCUCCAACCA